AUCCUCCUGAAGAGACACGAGAUGGUUAAACGCCUUUCCCUCACAAUGAACAUCGGUCGGUCUCGGUGGAACAUUGCCGGGGUCCGGGGCUAUUUUGGUGCCACCAAGGUCGCACAUUAGCAGGUUACACGGAGCGUUUCAACGCGACCUAGAUUUGACAUUGCCUGACAGUUAACGGGACCAGAGGCGUUUGUGCUGCGCAGGGUCACAGCAGAGGGAGAACGGGACACUCACCAGGUCCAAGACCAGCGUGGCCUCCGGGACGCUCCGGGUCUUAAUCGGAAUGUCCCUCACGCAGGGCCGGGACUGCUGGGAGUGUGACGGAAUGUUCUUGAUGAAGGCGUACCUGCGGGGCGACAGAAGAGCACCUUCAGAGUACCUGGCCGCCAGGCAUCUCCAUGGAAACGACACCUGCGCACAACAGCAUCAAGCAACAUUCCUAAUUCUGAGGGGAAUUUGUAUUUAUGGAUUUUUUUACACUCAUAACACUUUUUUCAGAGUGUCUUACAAUGCAACAGAGGGUUUCCACAUGAGUCAUAUGAUCAAAACUUUUUGGCAGUCCAGGAAGUGGGGUUUAUUUGUGUCUGCUCUCCCGGGGGAAGAGCAGACGUUUCGGCGAGCAGCAGGGGACUCACGGGUUGAACACCUCGUCGUUGGUUUCGUCGUCUGACAGAGGGCUGAGGGCGUCGAAGCCGAACACACACUGCUCCGGACUCAUCAGCCCACAGGCGGGAGACUGUACACCUGCAGCCCACACACACACACACGUCAGAACACCGGCGACCCACACACACACGUCAGAACACCGGAGACCCACAGACACACACACACACACACCGCUCCGGACUCAUCAGCUCAGGGACAGGAGACUGUACACCUGCAGCCCACAGACACACACCUGUCAGCACACCUGCGACCCACACACACACACACACCUGUCAGCACACCUGCGCUCCACACACACACUUGUAUUAUACCUGUAGUAUUAUACAUGGUGAAAGCCCUCAGUCUGGGGCCAUUUCAGUAUCACACAUGAUGAAAGCUCUCAGCCUGGGGCCAUUUCAGUAUCACACACAGUGAAAGCUCUCAGCCUGGGGCCAUUUCAGUAUCACACACAGUGAAAGCCCUCAGUCUGGGGCCAUUUCAGUAUCACACACAGUGAAAGCUCUCAGCCUGGGGCCAUUUCAGUAUCACACACAGUGAAAGCUCUCAGCCUGGGGCCAUUUCAGUAUCACACACAGUGAAAGCCCUCAGUCUGGGGCCAUUUCAGUAUCACACACAGUGAAAGCCCUCAGUCUGGGGCCAUUUCAGUAUCACACACAGUGAAAGCCCUCAGUCUGGGGCCAUUUCAGUAUCACACACAGUGAAAGCUCUCAGCCUGGGGCCAUUUCAGUAUCACACACAGUGAAAGCCCUCAGUCUGGGGCCAUUUCAGUAUCACACACAGUGAAAGCUCUCACCCAUCUUUAUAAUUUAAGUGUCCCAUAGCUUAACAAAUUAACAUGUGAUUCUUCCAUAAUGUUGUGUUGGUAAAUGGGAAGAUGAAAGGGAUUUGAGAUAUAAGGGCUUGGCAGGACACUGGCAAGAAGUAACACCGUGUGAGACACACAUUCUGCAGACUCAGGCCCUGUCCACACGUAUACGGAUUUUUCUGAAAACGUAGUUUUUUCCCCCUCCAUUAAACAAAAAAAAAACCCUAUCCACACGACCGGCGUUUUAAAAAAUAUCUCCGUCCACAGGAGAACGCUAAAACGAUUGCCGCAUGCGCAAUACAUCAAUUGCCAUGGUAACAGAUGCGCGAGUUGAUGUCACGACGUCAGCGUUUUCAUAAAGAUCCGUUUUUCUUGUCCACACGAAGUCAGAGAAACCGGAGUUUUGAAAAAUCUCCACCUUGGAGGGCGUUUUCAAAAAGCUUUGUUUAGUGAGCUAAAAACGCAGUUUUCGUGUGGACGGGAGGCCAAAACGGAGGGAAAAAACUAUGUUUUCAGAAAAAUCCGUGUACGUGUGGACGGGGCCUGAGACUGGGGAUCUGCACCCGCUCGUAGCACGCAAAGGAGAACACUGGCAGCGAAAGGCGGAAACGCGAGCGUGCGCGUGAAGGGCGACGGCGGUGCGUGCAAGACCCGCCGCCGAGCCCGUGCACGAGCGAGGCCUUCGGGCGCACUCACCGUUCUUAACUGGCGUCAGGAAUCGAACGAUGGGCGAGUAGAUGUUCCGCACGGCGGGGUUAGGGGUCGAAGGGUUAGGGGACAGGCUGUCCUCCUGAAAAUGCACCCGCAGCUGCCGCCCGCGGACGGGGGUCUUAAAGUCCACAUCUAAGAGGGAGAAGACCAGAGGCACCGUCAGGCCCUCGCAGAAGGCCUGUCCACACCUAGCCAUAAUGUAUGCAUGUAUUUUAUUUACCCUUUAUUUUACCAGGCAGGUCAAUUAAAAUCAGAAUCUUAUUUACAAUGAAGAGAACCUGGUAAGAGUCAAAAGAGCUCUUGAGGUGUGUGUGUAAAAUGCAGUCCAAAAUGCACAGCAACUCUCAACAGUAGGUAGGUUCUCCUCAGGAUUCGACCCAGUCACCCUCUGGUGAAAUGCACAGUUCACCCGGCAGUGUUCAGCUCCACUGGCCGAGCCCGUAUACCUUCGCUGUCCUGCGCUGCGGCCGCCCUCCUUCGAGCUCGAGCCGGGAUUUUGGGACGCUUGGCAACAGUGGGGAUGCUUUCCUCAUCAGAGAACUGCAGUUCGCACUCGAUGACCGCCUCUUCUCGGCUCUGCGUGGCCACAAGGAUACAUACGCAAGUCAGCCAUCUUUCCAGCUAAAACAAACACAACCCAGACACAAACUGGCACCUGGAGCAGCAUCUGCAUCAGAGCUUGAAAGUCCAGUGGUGAAAGUCCUGCCAUGGAUUUCGUCUGGCUCCUGGCUGAGGCCUUGUGCCAAUUAGCAAAUCCUGGUGGUUGGAACAAAAUACUGGGGGGUUUCUACUUCCUGGACCUGGAUUUUCCACAUCUGAUCCGUUUUGAAAGUUGGAGAAAAUUUAAACUCACACAGCUCGUUCACGUCACUGAAUUCUACCAACCAAUCAAGUUGAACCAGGGGCGGGACCAUCACAAACAGAAAGGAAGCGGAAGUGUUCACUGUGUGUGAGCUAAACCGUGUUCUUGGCUAGAAAUAGCUGUACAAAAUAAGUAUUGUACCUUACUGAACCUGUGUUUAGCAGUUGUCUAUGACCAUGAAAUGCACUUUUUGUACGUCAGUUUGGAUAAAAGCGUCUGCCAAAUAAAUGUAAUGUAAUGGAAGUACGAGUUGAAUAUCAGAAAUAAAGACGGGACUUCCUA